rnacentral:rRNA from 1 species
UACGAAGGGGGCUAGCGUUGCUCGGAAUCACUGGGCGUAAAGCGCACGUAGGCGGCUUUUUAAGUCAGGGGUGAAAUCCUGGAGCUCAACUCCAGAACUGCCUUUGAUACUGGGAAGCUUGAGUCCGGGAGAGGUGAGUGGAACUCCGAGUGUAGAGGUGAAAUUCGUAGAUAUUCGGAAGAACACCAGUGGCGAAGGCGGCUCACUGGCCCGGUACCGACGCUGAGGUGCGAAAGCGUGGGGAGCAAACAGG